rnacentral:rRNA from 1 species
CUCUGGGCUGUAAACCUCUUUUCUCAAGGAAGAAGACAUGACGGUACUUGAGGAAUAAGCCACGGCUAAUUCCGUGCCAGCAGCCGCGGUAAUACGGGAGUGGCAAGCGUUAUCCGGAAUUAUUGGGCGUAAAGCGUCCGCAGGCGGCCCAGAAAGUCUGUUGUUAAAAAGUGGAGCUCAACUCCAUCCAGGCAAUGGAAACUACUGGGCUAGAGUGUGGUAGGGGCAGAGGGAAUUCCCGGUGUAGCGGUGAAAUGCGUAGAUAUCGGGAAGAACACCAGUGGCGAAGGCGCUCUGCUGGGCCAUAACUGACGCUCAUGGACGAAAGCUAGGGGAGCGAAAGGGAUUAGAUACCCCUGUAGUCCUAGCCGUAAACGAUGAACACUAGGUGUCGGGAGAAUUAUCCCUCUCGGUGUCGUAGCCAACGCGUUAAGUGU